rnacentral:rRNA from 1 species
CUACGGGAGGCUCCAGUGGGGAAUAUUGCACAAUGGGCGCAAGCCUGAUGCAGCCAUGCCGCGUGUAUGAAGAAGGCCUUCGGGUUGUAAAGUACUUUCAGCGGGGAGGAAGGGAGUAAAGUUAAUACCUUUGCUCAUUGACGUUACCCGCAGAAGAAGCACCGGCUAACUCCGUGCCAGCAGCCGCGGUAAUACGGAGGGUGCAAGCGUUAAUCGGAAUUACUGGGCGUAAAGCGCACGCAGGCGGUUUGUUAAGUCAGAUGUGAAAUCCCGGGGCUCAACCUGGGAACUGCAUCUGAUACUGGCAAGCUUGAGUCUCGUGGAGGGGGGUAGAAUUCCAGGUGUAGCGGGGAAAUGCGUAGAGAUCUGGAGGAAUACCGGUGGCGAAGGCGGCCCCCUGGACGAAGACUGACGCUCAGGUGCGAAAGCGUGGGGAGCAAACAGGAUUAGAUACCCCAGUAGUC